AACAAUAUUAUAUUGACAAUGAAUUACCGCCUUUAGUCUUUACAUGUAUUUGAACGUCUUGAUUCAUCUUCAUGGUAUAGUCAGCUGUUGUUGUUGCUAGCUAGCGAUAAUUUCGUAGCUAACGUUAGCUAUCUAGCUACCCAAAUGGUUCCUCCAGCUGCAACUAAUUAUUUUGAUGUUUCCAUCUAGCUUGCUAUCAAAUUGAGACAAAUGUAGCUAUGUAUGAGGGACCAUCUCUAUUUUGGACCGUUUUCAAGGACUGUCAAUCUGAAUUUAAAGUGCAGUUUUUUUUCUUCCAGUGGAACGUCUGUUACGUAACGUAAUUUGUUGCACUGUCAACACAGUUUGUACUUGCAAGAAACGUCUGGCCAAGGUGCAUUGGGAAAGGAUAGCCAGCUAGUUUGUAAACAAUGGCAACCAUGCGUCGUCCAAGGUACUCUCUCCGAGACUCUCUGUACUGGGAUGAGACUGAGUGCCUGACGUACUAUGGGAUGCUCUCUCUACACGAGAUGUUUGAAGUUGUCGGUUCUCAACUGACAGAGACAGACGUUGAGGUGCUGUCGUUCCUCUUGGAUGAGACCUAUCCGGCUGGAGGGCACCCCUUGGACCCAGCUGGCUGGACCAGCGAGCCCGGUGAGGAAGACCCUGAGGCCAGUAAAGGAGUCUCCCCCAGCCCAGUGCUCCUGGAGGCCUGGCGGCGGUUACAGCCCAAGGGUCCUGCCUUGGCCUGCCCUACUGCUGCCCGCCACAAGCCCAAGAGUGGUCUAGAACUGCUGCUGGAGCUGGAGAGACGUGGGUACCUCAGUGAGGGUAACCUGGAGCCCCUGUUGCAGCUGCUGCGAGUCCUGACACGACACGACCUCCUGCCUUUGGUGUCCCGCAAAAAAAGGAGGACAGUAUCACCAGAACGUUUCAGAGUGGACUACGGGACAGAGGACAGAAGACAGGUUUGCACAUCUGGACUGACUGACCCCUGUGCACAGACAGAAUCACAUGAUGAACACGCCACACAGCAAUGGAGGGGGGGUGUUGACUCUGCCAGGCCAAUGCCCGCCCCCCUACGGAAGAAGAGGGGUAAAGGCCGCCGCUGGACCAGCAAGCCCACCGCCCACAGGAGAAGAGCGGGCAUCCCCGAAACGCCUCCCCCACCUAUACCUGAGAAAGUGACCUGCGACAUUCGUCUGCGUGUGCGAGCAGAAUACUGGGAGCAUGAGUCGGCUCUGCGCGGCGGCGUCUCCUCGGACAAGCAGCAGCCCCUGGAGCGGCAGUUUGAGCUGUUCAGUCGUGCCACCUCCGUGCUGCGCGCCCGCGACCUGGGCUCCAUCAUCUGCGACAUCAAGUUCUCAGAGCUGGACAACCUGGAGGCCUUCUGGGGGGACUAUCUGAGUGGAGCGCUGCUAGAGGCCCUGAAGGGGGUGUUCAUCACAGACUCUCUGCGGAGGGCGGCGGGGAGAGAGGGGGUCCGGCUGCUGAUCAGUGUGGACCAGGAUGACUACGAGGAGGGUCGCAGACUGCUGCUGGACGCACAGGAACAACAGGCCGGCUGCUGGGGACGAGACAGGCAUCAGAGCCAUAUACACUACCUGGUCUCACGUUGUCAUACUUCCUAGACCCAACCUGAGAAAGCUGGUUAUGGACGUUCGGCUCUGACAGACAGACAGUCAGCUGUGCGAGGUCAUGAGCCCAAGGAUAGAGGAAUGAAAAGGAGAAUAAAAUAUGAAGAGGAACAUUUUCUUUUUUCUCUCCUUUUUAAGUCUCUCAUGCUGAGAAUAGAGGAUACACAGCCACUCCUAGGUCAGGGGAAUAGUCCCCAGGGAAAACAGCCAAACUUGAAGUGAAGGCAAACUGGACUAAAAGACUUGACACACGGUUCUGUUUGGAAUUGAUAACACAAGUUGCACUGAGCCUAGAUGCCCUCACGGCACUGAGGAAGAGAGUGCCUCUGAGACACACAGAGAGAAACUAAACUUCCACUGUAACACACACACAAACUACCACUGUAUCUAACAUACACGCUCUGUAAAAUCAUCCACACGAUGAACCAUCAGCGCUGCCUGUAAGACUCAUUGAAGCCUAGAGACAUUUCUUGCUAACAGUGACAGCCCAGAUACCAACUAGACUGUGCGCUAAUGCUGAGAAUCUCUGGUUAUGUUUGAGGAGCGUGUGAGAUGCCCUGCAAGGCGAACUUCACCCGCCUAAAUAUUAGUUUGCGUUUCCAUUGAAAUGUAUGAUUUUGAAAAGAUGAGCGAGACUGCAGCUCUCAGACACUGAGGGAGAGAUGAUGGGGAAAUGAGAUUAUGUUUUGACCUUUUGGGAGAGAAUUAGAAAUAGAUGGCGAAGUGAAGACUACCUGAGGACAGUGUAGUGGACAAAUCGCUGGUCCUUCGAGAACUCCAGUCCACACACACACACACACACACACACACACACACACACACACACACACACACACACACCAUGAUCACAAGCCACUGGUAGUCCCAUCACUGUGCCAUGCUAACCCAGGGCCUGAUAGCUGUGGUCAGUGGCCAUCUCAUCUCAGAUGCCAGGAGAUGAUGGGAGUGAUUACCUCUCAACCUCAGCCAACCAUGGAGAACUCAUCACAUCACCACAAGUUGUUGAACAGCAGCUGGGAUAACACACACUAGGCUGUGCUCACCCCGGCUUCCAGCAAGGCCACUGCCUUUCCCAUUGGAACUGGAGCACAGGACAGUGCUUCAGUCAAUAAAACUGAUGUGGAGGAGAUCAAAAUCAGAAGGAUACAUCCUAGUUCCACUCAGCCCUGCCUUGUAGGCCCCACUAGAGUGGCUCACAGAGCGCUGUCUGUCUCUAGUCUAGUCACCCUGGUGGAACUAAUGCCUGAACUCCUCUGAGUGGGAUCAAUAACCCCCUCUGUCUCUCCACCACCACCAUGGGAGGAGAAGGAGUAAGGGGAAAGAGAGGAGAGGUAGGAGAAGGGGGAAGAGGGAGAGGGGGGAAGGAUCCCCACCUCCAUCCCGCCUUUCAGCUCCUGGACAGCCGCCUCAUCCUCUGCAGGAUAAGUCUCCUGGUGCAACCAGGCUGCCUGGUCUGCUACAGCACUGUGUCUGGUUCACACAGCCCUAUGGGACCAGGGAUGGAGGCACUCAGGAAAACCUUAGUAGUGUUUUGCUUUUUCUGUGUUUUGGUAUAUGGAUUCGUUAGUGUAGCUUUGUAUUGUUCAUAAGAGAAAAUAACAAAAAUACUGUGUGUUCUAGUUCAUUAACUUAGGGUGAACUUUUGUUUAAGUAGCUGGAUAUUUUAUUUAGGCACUGCAAAAGUGCUGUAUAUUAGUUUAAUAUAUUAGUGGAAAGUUGGAAUUAUUUCAAAUAAAAAUAAAUGAUUUAUCAAAGGUU